AGUAUCUUUUCUGUUCUUUUCCAACAUAGCUGCACAGGCACGCUGGGCUGGAGAACUCGCUGUUUUUUCCCUUCGACGAAUAGGCAAAGUGGCCUCCAUAUUUGCAGAAAAUGCUGUUAACUAUUGCAAAGGGAAAAGUUAAAGGCUGGGAGCGGCGGAGGGAGCUGGGAGCGAGCGGGGAAUGUGCAGCCUGCAAAACUUCAGCUGCCGCUAGACACGGCAUUCCUGCAUUUGCUUAAUCAACAUUUGCUUUUGGCUUGUGCUGGAGCAACACAGAAGAAAAACAAAUUCCUUGGGAUAAAAGCAGCUCUCUGCCGCGGUAUUAGAAGCACAAAGGUGUCGGCAACACGGCAUAGAUGAGAUUUGUUUAACACUCCUCGAGCCUUUUAAACCACAAAUUAAUGAACUUCAGACCGAUGCAAUAUUGAUGAAAUGGUUCCCCAGCUGGCCCCACGUACAGAAGAUGCAGGACGCCACAUCCCCGCACACCCCAGGGUCUCGCCCCUGCCGCACGUCUCCUUUCUAGGCUCCAUCAGCUGGGGCUGCAUCGGCAUGACCACAGCUGGGUACCAUGGCCCGGGAGGGACCCGAGUGCCUGAGCCCAUGGUACCACAACUGGGAGGGCCAAACAAAUGUGUGUGUUGAUGUCGCUGCAUCCAAAGAUUUCCCCGGCAGGGAGGGACAUUGCUGUCUCGCUGCGGCCUGGAGAGACACCAGAGAGAUGCGCCGACGACCAGAGUUAAGGGUAAAAGGGAGUAAAAUCUUCAAGGAGCGGGGAUGGACGUCUCAGUGCAUGCUGCCCUGGCUGUGCCGAGCGGUGCCCCCAGCUGCAUUCACCCUCCCUGCCCCGACGUCUUGACACGCGGAUAAAAGCCGGGCUGAAGGGACGAUUUCAUGGAGAUUAACCUCACGCGCUGUGCUGGGGCUGCCGCUGCCCUUGACACUGGGUCCCCCAUGUAUCAAAGGUGGAUUACAGAUAUAUUAGCCCCGCCACUGGUUUUAUUAGUGGCGGUUUAUCACAUGGAGGGGGUCAGCCAAGGGCAGGGGACAGAGGAGCCCAGCCACCCUCCGGCGACCCAGAGUAUCACAGAGAGGCCUUAAUUGAAUUUUUGGGAGGAGACCUGGGCUGGGGUCAGUGUUUGCUGCCUGGCCCCGGUACAACUCCCUAAGAUUUGUGGUGCUGAUGGGUGAUGCCUGCGGUGCCCACAGCGAGGGAGAAGGGAAGCCUUUGGCCUCACUGCAGGCAGGGCUGCCCCUAUGCACCACCCUGGGCUGGGUUUAGAGAGAUUUGAUUCAAAAAUAAAUCAAUCCCCUUUGGGAGGCACUCGGACAGCUUCUGCUGGGGAUGGAGAUGCCAGUCCUGUCCUGCCUGGGUGCAUCCCUCUUCAUCCCACACAAAACCUCCCCUGGGCUGGAGGAAUUUGCCUCCUUCGACCCAAACAAAUGCCUUCGAACACUGAGCGUUCCUGUGCGGCACCAGGGUACCCAAACCCAAGGGGGCUCAGGUGGAUGCUGGGAUGCCCGGCAUCGAUGCAACGAGGCACAUCGAGGAGGUGGGGGCAGGAUUUGAGCCUGAAAGAGGUUGAAGUGGGGCAAAGCAAGGGGGAAGAGAAACCUCCCGAACGGGGCGUUUUAAUGACAUUCCAUUAAAGCUCCCUUUGGGGCUGGCACGGCAGCCAUGUGCUCCACAUUCUCAUGGUAAUUAUGAGACAUCUGUAUAGAGGCUCUUUUCUCAUCAAAGAUGGCUCUCUUCAAAGACGCUCCUGGGAAACCCUUCACCUCUGACCGAGGGGGUCACUGCCGAAACAGUGGCUCUAUAGUCCGCGUUACUGUAAAGCCCAGUAUCCUUUUUCCUCCCCUAACCUGACCAGUUCCCGGCUUUUCAGGCACGAUUCGUUGAGCUUGAGAGGGUUGGGGGGGGGGCAGCCACCGGUUUCAGAGAAGGGUCUCCCACACACACCCCACAACCACCACCACUAGUGCCAGUCCUGGGUGCCGUCAUCAUCAUCGCCUGCGCUGACCCCAGGCGCAGGAGGGAGAUCAAAGUAGGAUGAAAAGGCGUUUAAUGAGAGCGGACGGGGCUGAGGGUUUCCUGUCCCCGCACUGGGGAAGGGGCGGCCUCCGCCCCCCACAGUGUCACCCAUCACCACUCUCUGCCUGGUGCGCCCCACCUGGGAAGUGCCAGGUCCCAGGGAGUGAUUUUUGGUGAUUGCCACAAACAACCCCACCGUCCUCCAUGCUGCAGAGGUGACGGGGAUGUG